UACGUAGGGUGCUAGCGUUGUCCGGAAUUAUUGGGCGUAAAGAGCUCGUAGGCGGUCUGUCGCGUCGGCUGUGAAAACCCGGGGCUCAACCCCGGGCCUGCAGUCGAUACGGGCAGACUAGAGUGCGGUAGGGGAGACUGGAAUUCCUGGUGUAGCGGUGAAAUGCGCAGAUAUCAGGAGGAACACCGGUGGCGAAGGCGGGUCUCUGGGCCGUAACUGACGCUGAGGAGCGAAAGCGUGGGGAGCGAACAGG
rnacentral:rRNA from 1 species